rnacentral:ribozyme from 1 species
GCAAAAAGGAUGGCAGAUUCUGUCCAAAGAGAAGAGCACGGCCAAUAGUCACGAAGGUUUCGUGAGGAGGGCAAGAUUCAUCAUUUCUUCUGGGUCUAGUUCGUCUUCCGUGUCCAUGUCCAUGACGACGGAUGAGGGAACUUGUGAGAGAGAUCCCGAUCCUCCCUCCCCUGGAGAUGUCAACAUCUCUCAUCCCCCGAUCGCAGGCGCAGAUUGGGAGUGGAAUCAUGCUUCACAACGGUCCGUUCUUUUCUU